rnacentral:rRNA from 1 species
CGCGCAGGCGGUCGUUCAAGUCGCGUGUGAAAGCCCCCGGCUCAACUGGGGAGGGUCACGCGAUACUGAUCGACUCGAAGGCAGGAGAGGGUAGUGGAAUUCCCGGUGUAGUGGUGAAAUGCGUAGAUAUCGAGAGGAACACCAGUGGCGAAGGCGACUACCUGGCCUGUUUCUUGACGCUGAGGCGCGAAAGCUAGGGAGCAAACG